UCGGAUCGUAUUGACGAAGGGAUAAUAGUUCCAUGAUAAACGAACGAUUUUGGUUUUGUCAUACCACGUGACAUUUUCCGUCACAUGUAUUGCCCUGACACAUUGCUAGAUGUCAAUCAGGGACGGCGAAUGUGAAUUGACGAUAAAUUAAAAGGGUGUAUUAAUUUAUCGAUUUUGAUUAGAUCAAAAUAAUAUUUCACGACGUUAGGCAUCGUGGUCGGGAACCUAAUGGGUCGCACACAAAAGAGAAUUGGAAGACUGCAAAUUGUUAAUUGAUUAAUUUAACAAUCGUUGGAUAAAUUAAUUAAUUGAAUUUCUUAUUUAUAAUCCCGAAUUAAUUAAUUGGAUUAAUUAAUUCACGGACCGGGUUUGAUUAAUUGGAUUAAUUAAAUAUUGGACCGGACCGGGCCGGGUCCGUUUGGGUUUAUAUAUAUAUGCAGCUAGGGUUUGAGGUCCAUUAAGUUAUUCAUUAUUCUUGCUAGCACAAGAAAGAAACCCUAGCAGUUGCUGUCUUCUCUCUGUGUGGAUUUCAUUGG
rnacentral:lncRNA from 1 species